GAAAUGCGAUAAGUAAUGUGAAUUGCAGAAUUCCGUGAAUCAUCGAAUCUUUGAACGCACAUUGCGCCCUCUGGCAUUCCGGGGGGCAUGCCUGUCCGAGCGUCAUUACUCACCCUCAAGCCCGGCUUGUGUGAUGGGCCCCGGCGUCUCGUUCGCGAGACGGGCCCGAAAGGCAGCGGCGGCGUCGACCUGAUGAGCCCGAGCGUAUGGGGACUUCUGUCACACGUUCGCGGUGCGGACCGGCGCCUGCUUGACUUUUCUGAUUAUCCAGGUUGACCUCGGAUCAGGUAGGGAUACCCGCUGAACUUAAGC
rnacentral:misc_RNA from 1 species